rnacentral:rRNA from 1 species
UGGGGAAUAUUGCACAAUGGGCGCAAGCCUGAUGCAGCCAUGCCGCGUGUAUGAAGAAGGCCUUCGGGUUGUAAAGUACUUUCAGCGAGGAGGAAGGCGUUGUGGUUAAUAACCGCAGCGAUUGACGUUACUCGCAGAAGAAGCACCGGCUAACUCCGUGCCAGCAGCCGCGGUAAUACGGAGGGUGCAAGCGUUAAUCGGAAUUACUGGGCGUAAAGCGCACGCAGGCGGUCUGUCAAGUCGGAUGUGAAAUCCCCGGGCUCAACCUGGGAACUGCAUCCGAAACUGGCAGGCUAGAGUCUUGUAGAGGGGGGUAGAAUUCCAGGUGUAGCGGUUAAAUGCGUAGAGAUCUGGAGGAAUACCGGUGGCGAAGGCGGCCCCCUGGACAAAGACUGACGCUCAGGUGCGAAAGCGUGGGGAGCAAACA